AUUGAACGCUGGCGGCAUGCCUUACACAUGCAGGUCGAACGGCAGCACGGGUGCUUGCACCUGGUGGCGAGUGGCGAACGGGUGAGUAAUACAUCGGAACGUACCUUAUCGUGGGGGAUAACGCAGCGAAAGCUGUGCUAAUACCGCAUCCGCCCUGAGGGGGAAAGCGGGGGAUCGCAAGACCUCGCGCGAUUAGAGCGGCCGAUGCCUGAUUAGCUUGUUGGUGGGGUAAACGCCCACAAAGGCGACGAGCAGUAGCUGGUCUGAGAGGACGAUCAGCCACACUUGGACUGAGACACGGCCCAGACUCCUACGGGAGGCAGCAGUGGGGAAUUUUGGACAAUGGGGGCAACCCUGAUCCAGCAAUGCCGCGUGAGUGAAGAAGGCCUUCGGGUUGUAAAGCUCUUUUGUCAGGGAAGAAACACCGGCUCUAACACAGUCUGGGAAUGACGGUACCUGAAGAAUAAGCACCGGCUAACUACGUGCCAGCCGCCGCGGUAA
rnacentral:rRNA from 1 species